rnacentral:rRNA from 1 species
UGGGGGAUAUUGCACAAUGGGCGAAAGCCUGAUGCAGCGACGCCGCGUGGGGGAUGAAGGCUUUCGGGUUGUAAACCUCUUUCGCUAUCGAACAAGGCCCGCUUAGGGUGGGUUGAGGGUAGGUGGAGAAGAAGCGCCGGCUAACUACGUGCCAGCAGCCGCGGUAAUACGUAGGGCGCGAGCGUUGUCCGGAAUUAUUGGGCGUAAAGGGCUUGUAGGCGGCUUGUUGCGCCUGCUGUGAAAACGCGGGGCUUAACUUCGCGCGUGCAGUGGGUACGGGCAGGCUUGAGUGUGGUAGGGGUGACUGGAAUUCCAGGUGUAGCGGUAGAAUGCGCAGAGAUCUGGAGGAACACCGAUGGCGAAGGCAGGUCACUGGGCCAUUACUGACGCUGAGGAGCGAAAGCAUGGGUAGCGAACAGG